rnacentral:rRNA from 1 species
UACGUAGGGACCAAGCGUUGUUCGGAUUUACUGGGCGUAAAGGGCGCGUAGGCGGCAUGACAAGUCACUUGUGAAAUCUCCGGGCUUAACUCGGAACGGCCAAGUGAUACUGUUGAGCUAGAGUGCGGAAGGGGCAAUCGGAAUUCUUGGUGUAGCGGUGAAAUGCGUAGAUAUCAAGAGGAACACCUGAGGUGAAGACGGGUUGCUGGGCCGACACUGACGCUGAGGAGCGAAAGCGUGGGGAGCGAACAGG